GCGCCCAUGGCGGAGGGGCGGCGGGGAGCGGAGCCGCUGUGGCGGACCCCCCCGGGCCGCCUGGCCCCGCCGCACGUCUACCGCAUGGCGGGGGCGCUGGGCGCCGAGCUGCGCCGCCUGGCCGGCCGCUUCGGGCCCGAGGCCGUGGCCGGGCUGGUGCCGCCCGUCGUGCGGCUGCUGGAGCUGCUGGAGGCGCUGGUGGCCCCGGCGGGCGCCGAGGGGGAGGCGGCGGCGGCGGCCGCGCGGCAGGACGCGGAGCAGUCGGAGCAGGGGCUGUGGGAUGCCGAGCGCCGGGAGCAAGCCCUGCACAGCCGCCUGGCCUGCCUGGAGGAGCAGAACCGGCAGCUCUUGGAGCAGCUUGUGGAGAGCCAGUCCCAGGAAGACAGCAUGGCACGGAAGGAGCGGGAGGUGAUGCUGCGGCUGAAGGAGGUGGUGGACAAGCAGAGGGAUCAGCUUCGUGCCCAGGCCCACGAGAUCGUCUGCAAGAGCCGAGACACAGAGGCGCUGCAGGAGCAACUGCAUCGCUUCAUGGCCAUGAACGAGGAGCUGCGUCACAAGGUGGCCGUGGUGCAGGCUCAGCUCAAGAGCGCGCUGGAGAAGAAGUCGGACCUGGAGGCCAUGAUGCUGCAAAUCCAGAGGGAAACGAGCAGGAGGAGCAGGACCGCCUCGGAGAUCCAGCCGCCAAAGCCCAGCCUGGAAGGUGCGCCAUCACCCGCGGAGGAGCUGCGGCACCAGGAUGCUCACUGCUGCUUCUCCAAGGACGAGCUGCAGCAGAUCCUGCAAGAGCGGAACGAGCUCAAGACCAACCUGUUCUUGGUGCAGGAGGAGCUGGCCUAUUACCAGCGGGAGCUGCUGAACGAAGAGAGAGUCCCCAGCUUCUUUUUGGAUGCAAUGAAGUCGACUAUCAAAAGGCAGAGAAAAAAAAUCAGGGCUAAAAUGCUGGGAACGGUGGAGGAGUCGGCGAGCAGGUUUGAUGUCUGCAGUUGAUGUCUUGCUCUGGCCCCGGGAGUGCCGCAGGGACCAGGCUCUUUGCUGCAACUCCCAUGUGCCUGUCACCAGUCAUACGUGGCCUGGCCAAAUGCCACUCGUCUCUGCGUGGGUGUGACACAAGGGAGGCAAGGUGGUGGCAGCGGGGCCACUGCACGAGAAGGCAGGCUGGUCCCUGCGCUGUACAGUUGGAGGCUGUCCAGCCUUUGAAGAUGGCAGCAGAGAUGUUCCCUGGAGGCUCUGCGAGACGUCGUGGGCAGCGCUGGCUCCAGCAGACUUCCCAUGAUGGGGAGGGGAAGACCCUGCGGGCACCGGCCCCAGCUCUGCACGACUGCAGGCAGCUGGGGGGUGAAGCCUGGGCUAAAGCUGCUGCGUGGCACCGGGGGAGCUGUAUGGCACUGGUUUUUAGGGGCUCUAUUAAAGUCUGAAGGGGGGUGAGCUCUCCUCUGCUACUACAACCUGCUGCUUGCUUGUGUUGGGGUCUCUGCUGGCAACUGGGGGGGUCUGGGGGGGUGCCUGCUCGCCUCCCUGCCUGGUGAGGAUAGCUGCUGCCCUAUGAAAGCUGCUCUCAUGUGUUCCCCGCUUCCCUGCCUGGCUGUCACCCACCUUGAUGGCAGGAUGUCACCCACCUUGGCCCCGAGCCGUGGCUGGUGGUUGUUGGGCUGUUCCCCCAGGGAAGCGUGCGCUUGCUGUGGGGCAGGGGAUGCCUGAAGACUGUACAGCGGGUUGUGGUUUCUGCUGUUGUGGCAACCGGGGACACACCAUCCGCUGGCAAAGUGCCAGGCGUUUGAAGCCGGUGUUUGAGGAGCCUUGUGGCUGGCCUUGCUGUGAAACGUGUUUGAGGAGCCGGGGCUGGGCUUGCUGUGAAACGCGGCCGUAUCUGGGAUGCGAGCAUCGCGGUGGCUUUGUGGCAGGUCACAGCCCACCAGUGCUUCAGGGCACAGUGGCACCGGUCCAUGUGCCCCCAGCUCUGCAGGGGACACUGCUUGGCUUGGCAGAGAGCCCUGGGGUGGCUCUGGUACUCACAGCUGUGGUGAGCCCCCGACUCAGUACAGGUUUACCCCCCGCUUCUUUGUGCUGCAGUGAUGAAGAUGAGGGCUCCUGGCUCCCAGCUCGGGGAGCAGACUGUGUGGAUGCUCAGCCUCCUGAAUCCAAAAUUAGGAGCUUUUUUGGUCUGUGGUAUCAGGACAGCAGCAAAGACCCCCCCACAUCCAGCUGCUCUGGAACCUGGG